CGCGAAGCCGGUGCGGAUGCCGCGCCGGUUCGCCUCGCGGGUGAUCUCGAGCGCCGUCGUCUUUUUGCCGAUGUUCGAAUCGCUGCCGCACGU
rnacentral:tRNA from 1 species